rnacentral:rRNA from 1 species
UACGUAGGGGGCAAGCGUUGUCCGGAUUUAUUGGGCGUAAAGAGCGUGUAGGCGGCCGUACAGGUCAGCUGUGAAAACUCGAGGCUCAACCUCGAGACGUCGGUUGAAACCGUACGGCUAGAGUCCGGAAGAGGAGAGUGGAAUUCCCGGUGUAGCGGUGAAAUGCGCAGAUAUCGGGAAGAACACCCGUGGCGAAGGCGGCUCACUGGACCACAACUGACGCUGAUGCGCGAAAGCUAGGGGAGCAAACAGG